UGUAUUUGCCUCACGUUGAGCCAGACGUACAAUACCUGAAGACGAAGUUUUGUUCGUUCGGCUCGCGUUAAGCAGGU
rnacentral:pre_miRNA from 1 species